rnacentral:rRNA from 1 species
GACGUAGGGCGCGAGCGUUGUCCGGAUUUAUUGGGCGUAAAGAGCUCGUAGGCGGCUUGUCGCGUCGUCCGUGAAAACCCGGGGCUCAACUCCGGGCUUGCGGGCGAUACGGGCAGGCUAGAGUUCGGUAGGGGAGACUGGAAUUCCUGGUGUAGCGGUGAAAUGCGCAGGAUAUCAGGAGGAACACCGGUGGCGAAGGCG